rnacentral:rRNA from 1 species
UACGUAUGGGGCUAGCGUUGUCCGGAAUCAUUGGGCGUAAAGCGCGUGUAGGCGGUCCGGUAAGUCCGCUGUGAAAGUCGGGGGCUCAACCCUCGAAUGCCGGUGGAUACUGUCGGGCUAGAGUGCGGAAGAGGCGAGUGGAAUUCCUGGUGUAGCGGUGAAAUGCGCAGAUAUCUGGAGGAACACCGGUGGCGAAGGCGACAUCCUGGACCGGCAUUGACGCUGAGGCGCGAAAGCCAGGGGAGCAAACGGG